GUCCUCCUUAAUAGGCUGAUCCUUCACUUGGAAGAUUGUCAUCUACCUGAGAGCCAGUGUGGUUUCAGAAAGGGCCGAGGAAUGGUUGAUGUGGUGUUUGUUGCCCAAAAACUCCAGGAGAAAUGCCGAGAGCAGAACAGAGGUCUGUACACAGUGAAACUGAUACUUAAAGCAUGAAGCACCUAGUCCUUCCUUUCAGCUCUACACGGCCCGAAUAUCUCUCUCAAAGUCCAUGAGCUGUGUUCAAGGCUCAUGGUGGAAUGUGCAAAGGAAGUACUACAUGCUUGGAAGAUACAGUUUAUUGAUGCCUUUUAUGUUUAACUCAUGAUCCCCUCCUCCCGCCAUUGAAUCCAACCUAGUGCUGAAGAAGAACAGAAACGAUGUGGUCUUGACCUAUAUCUUGCCACUGGACUCUGAUGGAGAGAGUGAGGCUGAUGACUUUGCACAGCUCUGUCUCACUU